rnacentral:rRNA from 1 species
CAGCAGCCGCGGGAAUACGGAGGGUGCAAGCGUUAAUCGGAAUUACUGGGCGUAAAGCGCAUGCAGGCGGUCUGACAAGUCAGAUGUGAAAUCCCCGGGCUUAACCUGGGAACUGCAUUUGAAACUGUCAGGCUGGAGUCUUGUAGAGGGGGGUGGAAUUCCAGGUGUAGCGGUGAAAUGCGUAGAGAUCUGGAGGAAUACCGGUGGCGAAGGCGGCCCCCUGGACAAAGACUGACGCUCAGGUGCGAAAGCGUGGGGAGCAAACAGGAUUAGAUACCCCUGUAGUCCCUGUCUCUUAUAC